rnacentral:tRNA from 3 species
GAUUCCGUAGCUCAGUUGGUAGAGCACGCGACUUUUAAUCGCUAGGUCCUGGGUUCGAGCCCCAGCGGAAUCA